rnacentral:rRNA from 1 species
UACGAAGGGGGCUAGCGUUGCUCGGAAUCACUGGGCGUAAAGGGUGCGUAGGCGGGUCUUUUAAGUCAGGGGUGAAAUCCUGGAGCUCAACUCCAGAACUGCCUUUGAUACUGGCGAUCUCGAGUCCGGGAGAGGUGAGUGGAACUGCGAGUGUAGAGGUGAAAUUCGUAGAUAUUCGCAAGAACACCAGUGGCGAAGGCGGCUCACUGGCCCGGUACUGACGCUGAGGUGCGAAAGCGU